rnacentral:snRNA from 1 species
GUAUCAGCAGCACACAUACUAAAAUUGGAACUAUAUGGAGAUUAGCAUGGCCCCUGUGCAAGGAUGACACACAAAUUUGUGAAGCAUUCCUUAUUUUU